CAGGAUGAACUUAACCAGGCGUCUUCCUCCGAGGGGAAGGAGCACAAGCAAGCAAGCAACCGAUCUGCCUUUUUAAGUGGCCACAACUCGGAGGACCAAGGGGCAGGGGUGAAGCCUCCAUUCUGUGCCUGGGAAGUUGAGGCUCCGGAGACGGACAUUUGUCAGGGUGGAGGCAUAUGAAAAGGCGAAGAACUGGCCUUCUGCCCCAGCUGGCCUGGUGACUUCCUUUUUUCGCUGUUGCUCCAUGCGUGCAAAGGUCUUCGUUUUCUUCACUGCUCACUGCUGUAUCCCCUCCCCCAACUUCUAAAAAUGUCUAGCACAAAGCAGACACAUCAUAGACGUUUCGGAAAUGGAUGCAUAUGGCACAAAACCAAAAUGAUAGGACAAGAUUAGCAGUGAGAAGCUUUAUUCCUACCUAUUCCUUGAUUCACAGG